rnacentral:rRNA from 1 species
CGAAUGACUCUCGGCAACGGAUAUCUCGGCUCUUGCAUCGAUGAAGAACGUAGCGAAAUGCGAUACUUGGUGUGAAUUGCAGAAUCCCGUGAACCAUCGAGUCUUUGAACGCAAGUUGCGCCCGAUGCCACUAGGUUGAGGGCACGUCUGCCUGGGCGUCACAC